rnacentral:lncRNA from 1 species
GUUGGCGGGAGUCCGGUUGCCACGACCCUGGAAGCUGGCAGCGUGGGCAGGACCGCAGGGGGCCCCGGCUUCACCAGUCCUGGGCGCGUAGCAGGGGGAACCGGCAGCCCGACCGCAAGUGCCAGAGGAGGGACCCCAGGAGGUUCCGAGGGCUUGACAGCAGCACCCGGCAGUGAGAGCACACGUGGAGACUCCGGCGCCCCAGGCACGAC